rnacentral:rRNA from 1 species
CGAACGAUGAUCCGGUGCUUGCACCGGGGAUUAGUGGCGAACGGGUGAGUAACACGUGAGUAACCUGCCCUUAACUCUGGGAUAAGCCUGGGAAACUGGGUCUAAUACCGGAUAUGACUCCUCAUCGCAUGGUGGGGGGUGGAAAGCUUUUUGUGGUUUUGGAUGGACUCGCGGCCUAUCAGCUUGUUGGUGAGGUAAUGGCUCACCAAGGCGACGACGGGUAGCCGGCCUGAGAGGGUGACCGGCCACACUGGGACUGAGACACGGCCCAGACUCCUACGGGAGGCAGCAGUGGGGAAUAUUGCACAAUGGGCGCAAGCCUGAUGCAGCGACGCCGCGUGAGGGAUGACGGCCUUCGGGUUGUAAACCUCUUUCAGUAGGGAAGAAGCGAAAGUGACGGUACCUGCAGAAGAAGCGCCGGCUAACUACGUGCCAGCAGCCGCGGUAAUACGUAGGGCGCAAGCGUUAUCCGGAAUUAUUGGGCGUAAAGAGCUCGUAGGCGGUUUGUCGCGUCUGCCGUGAAAGUCCGGGGCUCAACUCCGGAUCUGCGGUGGGUACGGGCAGACUAGAGUGAUGUAGGGGAGACUGGAAUUCCUGGUGU